UACGUAGGGCGCAAGCGUUGUCCGGAAUUAUUGGGCGUAAAGAGCUCGUAGGCGGUUUGUCACGUCGGCUGUGAAAACCCGAGGCUCAACCUCGGGCCUGCAGUCGAUACGGGCAGACUAGAGUGCUGUAGGGGAGACUGGAAUUCCUGGUGUAGCGGUGAAAUGCGCAGAUAUCAGGAGGAACACCGGUGGCGACGGCGGUUCUCUGGGCCUGUCCUGACGCUGAGGAGCGAAAGCGUGGGGAGCGAACAGG
rnacentral:rRNA from 1 species